rnacentral:rRNA from 1 species
UACGGAGGGAGCUAGCGUUGUUCGGAAUUACUGGGCGUAAAGCGUGCGCAGGCGGUUCGUGAUGUCUGAUGUGAAAGCCCCGGGCUCAACCUGGGAAUUGCAUUGGAAACUAGCGGGCUGGAGUGUGGCAGAGGGGGGUGGAAUUCCACGUGUAGCAGUGAAAUGCGUAGAGAUGUGGAGGAACACCAGUGGCGAAGGCGGCUUUCUGGUCUGUAACUGACGCUGAGGCGCGAAAGCGUGGGGAGCAAACAGG